GUACUGAUAGCUUAGCUCAUAGCAAUAGUCUUGUAAACUAUAGGUCGGGGGUCGAACCCUCCUCAGUGCU
rnacentral:tRNA from 1 species